GUGAUAUUGCAAAAUGUCUUGAUGGUAAGGUAUGUCUUUUUGCUGAUGAUACUAAGAUAUAUAACAGGGUUGAUGUUCCAGGAGGGAUAAGCCAAAUGACAAAUGAUUUAGGUAAACUAGAAAAAUGGUCAGAGCUGUGGCAACUGACAUUUAAUGUUGAUAAGUGCAAGAUAAACCCAAGGGCAGAGUACAGAAUAUUUGAUAGAGUUCUAACCUCAACAUCUGAGGAAAGGGAUUUAAGGGUAAUUAUUUCUGAUGACUUAAAUGUAGGCA